CUGGUCCUCCAACUAAUAUCCAGUCGACUUCCACUAGGGUACGCAAUAUUGUCUUCACUUGGGAGAAACCAGAAUGUGGUUAUCGGAAUGGACCAAUCUCUAGCUACGAAGUUAUGCUCUCCAAUUCGACAGGAAACGUGGUUUAUCAUGGUAAUGUGUCGGGACCUGAGCACGAGAUAUUUGGCCUCAUCCCCUAUUCAAAUUACAGCAUUAGGAUCAGGGCUUGGAAUUAUGAACUAGCAGGGGAGUAUGGUCCAGCGAUUUGGGCACAGACAGAUGAAGCAAGCCCAGAUCAACCAAUCGGAGUAAAUCUGCCAUCUUCUGACAAGGAAAGUAUCACAGU